rnacentral:misc_RNA from 1 species
AAUUUUUGGAAUAAAGGCUUAGUUAAGUUGAUUUGAGUUGUAUCAAUUAAAAAAAUUAUAUUUUAUAAAUUUGUGUUGUUAAGGUAUCUAUUUAUGAAAAAAAGAUAAAAAUGUCUUUUUGCAUUCAACAUAUAAUUUUAGAUUUUAAUUGAAUUUAAAUAAUAUUAUCUUUUUAUACAAAUAUUGAAUAAGUUUAAUUACCUGAAAAAUAAAAAAUAAAAAAGAA